rnacentral:rRNA from 1 species
GUGGCGAACGGGUGAGUAACACGUGAGUAACCUGCCCUUGACUCUGGGAUAAGCGUUGGAAACGACGUCUAAUACCGGAUACGAGCUGAGACCGCAUGGUCAUCAGUUGGAAAGAAUUUUGGUCAAGGAUGGACUCGCGGCCUAUCAGCUUGUUGGUGAGGUAAUGGCUCACCAAGGCGACGACGGGUAGCCGGCCUGAGAGGGUGACCGGCCACACUGGGACUGAGACACGGCCCAGACUCCUACGGGAGGCAGCAGUGGGGAAUAUUGCACAAUGGGCGCAAGCCUGAUGCAGCAACGCCGCGUGAGGGAUGACGGCCUUCGGGUUGUAAACCUCUUUUAGUAGGGAAGAAGCGAAAGUGACGGUACCUGCAGAAAAAGCACCGGCUAACUACGUGCCAGCAGCCGCGGUAAUACGUAGGGUGCAAGCGUUGUCCGGAAUUAUUGGGCGUAAAGAGCUCGUAGGCGGUUUGUCGCGUCUGCUGUGAAAACUGGAGGCUCAACCUCCAGCCUGCAGUGGGUACGGGCAGACUAGAGUGCGGUAGGGGAGAUUGGAAUUCCUGGUGUAGCGGUGGAAUGCGCAGAUAUCAGGAGGAACACCGAUGGCGAAGGCAGAUCUCUGGGCCGUAACUGACGCUGAGGAGCGAAAGCGUGGGGAGCGAACAGGAUUAGAUACCCUGGUA